AUGCCCGUGAGACGGCAUCAGAACAGGAGCCAGGGCUGCGGGAGCGGACUCUGCGCCUGCGGGAAGCUGUGCGCGCUCUCUGCAUCCCAGAACGCUGCCGACCCUCUACAGCCUUUCUCUUUCCACGGGGAACGUGACUCUGAGCCACCGCUGGGUGUGGGACGCACUCCGGGGCUCCAGCCCUGCAGCGCCCGCUCCGGAGACCCGGGGUGCGUGCAGCUGCGGGGCCCGGGGCCUCGUGGAAGGCCCGCGCGGAUUCAUUUGUGUGUCCACACAAGCCAGCCUUACAAGCAGAUCUACAGGCUCCCUGGACAGGAAGUUCGAGUCCCGCAUCCCUUCGCCAGCCGGGCCAGGAGGCGUUCGCACGCCGCCGUCCCCACAGCGACUGCAUCCCAGCGUUCUUCCCAGAAAGCCACCGGCUGUCACCCCUUCCUGGGGUCCCUUGGCCCCGCUCCGUGCGCCCGCUGCCCUCCUCUGCCCGGGAGCAGCCCGUGCAUGGUGGGCAGCCGCCUCCUCUCCCAGCUUCCAUCCCGCGGUAACGAGCGGGGCCGAGGGCUGGGGUGCCCCGCGCAGCGUGCGCAGCCCCCGGAGGAAUGGGCCACUUACCUGGCUAGUCACCUGGGAGGCCUCCUGGGCCGCGCGCCCUGUCCUGUCUGCAGCUCUGAGCCAGAGGCGGAUGCUCAGGGCCAGGGAGGGUUUGUCUGGAUGUCGACGCGUGGCGCACGGCGCGGGGCGCGGAGCUGUACUGGGGUAUCCUUUCUGGACGCGCACGCCGAGCGCCUCCCCGCGCGACCAGCUCCGCGCUCUCUCGUAGCCCGGCAACGGCCGCCGCCUCCCGGCGCCCCGCCCACCGCCCGGCGCCCCGCCCCCACGAGGCCUCGCCCACCAUCCGGCGCCCCGCUCAGUGCGACGCCCGCCUGCGCUGCUCCGCGCUCCCGCUGCUGUUGGGGGCGCUGGCGGCCCGCCCUAGCGGCUGCUGGAGGGGGCGCGUGCAACCCAUCCCAGACAGAACUGGGGAGACGAGGCGGGGAAGGGGGGAUGGGGGGGCCGCCACCGCCAGUCUUGGUCGCGUUGGUUGAACCUCCUUCCGAGAAAGAAGCCUUCGUUUCCACCCUGAGCGUACCUCUCCAGGAUCUUGGCUUUAUUGCUUCUGUGUGUGAGCCUAGGCCUGCGGAAAACCGUGGUCAGAUGUUUGGCUGUGGCACGGAGGUCACCAACAACUGGCUCAUUUGA
rnacentral:lncRNA from 1 species